rnacentral:rRNA from 1 species
CCUACGGGAGGCUGCAGUGAGGAAUAUUGGUCAAUGGACGAGAGUCUGAACCAGCCAAGUAGCGUGAAGGAUGAAUGCUCUAUGGGUUGUAAACUUCUUUUAUAAAGGAAUAAAGCGAGGGACGUGUGCCUUUUUGUAUGUACCUUAUGAAUAAGGAUCGGCUAACUCCGUGCCAGCAGCCGCGGUAAUACGGAGGAUCCGAGCGUUAUCCGGAUUUAUUGGGUUUAAAGGGAGCGUAGAUGGGUUGUUAAGUCAGUGGUGAAAGUUUGCGGCUCAACCGUAGAAUUGCAAUUGAUACUGGCAGUCUUGAGUACAUUUGAGGUAGGCGGAAUUCGUGGUGUAGCGGUGAAAUGCUUAGAUAUCACGAAGAACCCCGAUUGCGAAGGCAGCUUACUAAGCUGUGACUGACAUUGAUGCUCGAAAGUGUGGGUAUCAAACAGGAUUAGAUACCCUAGUAGUC